ACGGGAGGCAGCAGUGGGGAAUAUUGCACAAUGGGGGAAACCCUGAUGCAGCGACGCCGCGUGAGCGAAGAAGUAUUUCGGUAUGUAAAGCUCUAUCAGCAGGGAAGAAAAUGACGGUACCUGACUAAGAAGCUCCGGCUAAAUACGUGCCAGCAGCCGCGGUAAUACGUAUGGAGCAAGCGUUAUCCGGAUUUACUGGGUGUAAAGGGAGCGUAGACGGAACAGCAAGUCUGAUGUGAAAGGCAGGGGCUCAACUCCUGGACUGCAUUGGAAACUGUUGAUCUUGAGUGUCGGAGAGGUAAGCGGAAUUCCUAGUGUAGCGGUGAAAUGCGUAGAUAUUAGGAGGAACACCAGUGGCGAAGGCGGCUUACUGGACGAUAACUGACGUUGAGGCUCGAAAGCGUGGGGAGCAAACAGGAUUAGAUACCCUGGUA
rnacentral:rRNA from 2 species